rnacentral:lncRNA from 1 species
UUUGAUUCUGUCAUGAAUAAGUGAAAUUAGGGGUUGAUUUUACUUGCUGGAAAUGUUGCUUUGAUUGUAUGGAUAUGUAAUAUGAAUGUUGAAAUGAUGAUUGGAAGGUUUAAAGUACAUAGAUACAACAUGGAAGCCAAAAACAGAAAACUGGCAGAAUAGGUUCCAACAGGACAGUCUGUGUUAGAAGCCUCAUAACUUAUUGUGUGAUCAUUGAAAUUAAGCCUAACAUAUACCAAAUGAAAGCUAAGACACAAAUCUCAAACUUUCAUGAAGUGACCAAAUUCUGAUUCUGUAGCUAAGUAUGUGAAAAUUGCUAGUGAACCUAAGCUGGUCACAGGGAAUUGUGCAUCCGGAGCAGUAUGUAUCUCCUAGACCAUAACUAAUGAUUUACUCAAUGAAAUGAAUUAAAACCAGUGCCAAAUGAACCCUGAAAAGUAUACCUAAAACUUUAUACAAGAAAGUUAAGCUUGAAUCUGUAUGCAAAUGUAUGCAUAUGAUAGGUUUUGUUAGAUUAAAAACAGAUACCAAAACUGUACUGGUUAGGACCUGAUUGAGCAGCUUGCAAAGAAAAAUUCAUAACUUAAGUUAGAAAGGUCAGAAUUAGAUGUCAUAUAUCUUGUUAGAAAGCUAAGACAUAAAUACACAAAGUUCAUGAAGAAAGGUGAGUCUAAUUAUGUCCACAAGAUACUUAAAAAUGUGAUACAAUCUCAGGCAGAAACAAACCUAAUUGUAAUUAUUGACCUAAAAGAGAUUGACAUGCUAGCUUUGUGGCCAAAUUAUGCACAUGCUAGCUUGACAUGCCUGCUUUAUGCACGUGCUAGCUUAAUAGACUAAAAAUUUGCAUACAUGUUCUUGAUGAAAUAGUAAUAUGUUCAUGACUGAAUAUUGUGUUCAUGAAUGAAGAUGGUCUAUUACACACAUAUGUAUGCUCCUAAGGACUCCUUUUUAUUGACAUAUUUGCUUGUUUCAACAGGGUAUGCAUCUACAUGAAUAAGUUUGAUACCAAUAAAUCUUUAACAUGUAAAAAUGUAUUCUUGGCCCUAGUAAACCUUAGUGGGAGUCAUAGAUAGCAUAAGGGUAUGGCAUGCCAUAUACAGUUUAGCAGUACUGCGCCCUAAUGGGCUACAUGAUAUGAUCUUAUCGACACAUUAUGUGUCAUACAGUUUCCCGGCUUUUUAGCCAUACAGGC